rnacentral:rRNA from 2 species
CCGGGAAUUUUCCACAAUGGGCGAAAGCCUGAUGGAGCAACGCCGCGUGUGCGAGGAAGGCCUUCGGGUUGUAAAGCACUGUCCUCGGGGACGAAGAACGACGGUACCCGGGGAGGAAGCCCCGGCUAACUACGUGCCAGCAGCCGCGGUAAUACGUAGGGGGCGAGCGUUGUCCGGAAUCACUGGGCGUAAAGGGCGUGUAGGCGGUCUGUUGCGUCGGGGGUGAAAUCCCCGCGCUUCACCCGGGGGGGUCCUUCGAAACGGGCAGGCUAGAGGGCGGGAGAGGCGAGCGGAAUUCCCGGUGUAGCGGUGAAAUGCGUAGAGAUCGGGAAGAACACCCGUGGCGAAGGCGGCUCGCUGGACCGUACCUGACGCUGAGGCGCGAAAGCUAGGGGAGCGAACGGG